rnacentral:rRNA from 1 species
UUUAUUGGAGAGUUUGAUCCUGGCUCAGGAUGAACGCUGGCGGCGUGCCUAAUACAUGCAAGUCGAGCGAAUGGAUUGAGAGCUUGCUCUCAAGAAGUUAGCGGCGGACGGGUGAGUAACACGUGGGUAACCU